rnacentral:rRNA from 1 species
CCUACGGGUGGCAGCAGUGAGGAAUAUUGGGCAAUGGACGCAAGUCUGAACCAGCCAUGCCGCGUGCAGGAUGACGGCUCUAUGAGUUUUAAACUGCUUUUUUACAAGGGUACUAUCAGAUACGUGUAUCAACUUCACAGUAUGGUACGAAAAAAGAACGGCUUACUCCGUGCCAGCAGCCGCGGUAAUACGUAGGAUACAAGCGUUAUCCGGAUUGAUUGGGUUUAAAGGGUGCGUAGGCGGUUUUAUAAGUUAGAGGUGAAAAUUCGGGGCUCAACUCCGGAGGUGCCUCUAAUACUGUAUGACUAGAGAAUAGAUGCGGUAGGCGGAAUGUAUGGUGUAGCGGUGAAAUGCGUAGAGAUCAGACAGAACACCGAUUGCGAAGGCAGCUUACCAAUCUAUAUCUGACGUUGAGGCUCGAAAGCGUGGGGAGCAAACAGGAUUAGAUACCCCAGUAGUC